CAAUUGAACAUAUGGACAACGAGGUAACAUUUUGUCAACGUAUUGAGGUUGCAGCAAAAUGCAUGUUUGUAGUUAAAAUGUGAUCUAAAAAUUAAUUUUUGUUUCAUUUGGAGCUAUAACCUCUAGGUUACGUCCAUCGUUAUGCACUAGACUUGUGGGUGUGUUGAGGAACGAGUGCGUCCCCUAUCGAGUCAGAACAAAGGCUUAACGCUACAUUUUUUUAGGGUAGCGAGUUAUUAUUUUCUCUAUGGGUUUAUUAAACAGUUGAAUUUACAAAAAGCUGAGUUUUCUUCCUUGUUAUUGUUGUCAUUCUUUUUUUGUUUUGUUUUAGUAUUAUUCCCAACAACUCAUUCAUUGCAAUUUCAUAGUUCAGCAGGAAUUUUCACCUAGCAAAAGUUGUGCUGAAACAAAAUUCCAACAAAAAAAUCAACCAACUGGUCGUUAUGACAUUUUUAUAAUGGAAAAAAAUAUGAGAAGCAAGACGAAACAUCUGCAAAUCUGCACAUGCUAAGUCAAAUACUUAAUCACUCACGCUACGAUUUCAACUUUACUGAUCCCAGCGGAUCAUCUCUAUCACAUGCAAACCUACUCAUGGCCAAGCUCACCAUAUCGAGUUCUCUGUAGCUUAGUGGCAGAGCAUCAGAGGGUGAACUGCAAUAGCCUAGGGUUUGACUCCUCUUGGGAGACUCAGUUUUUCUUCAUCUCAUAGUUUUGACCAUACAAAUAACAUAUUUCUUUAUUUAGUGACUAAGCUCAAAAUCUACCAUAUCUUCCUAUUUUCCUGGAAACAGGCAGGAUGCUUGGUUAUUUUGAACCCAGUAAAGGCCUAUUCAACUCUGUAGCUAUUUUAGUGGUAGUGUAUCAGAAUUUAACGUUAGAAGGUUUGGAGUUCGAUUAAUGGUGGCAACUCUUUCCUUACUGAUGUCUCAUGCUCAUGACAAAAUGAACAUCUUUCAUUAGUACCCAAAAAAUGUUUGGUCAGAAUGACAAUUUAGAUAGUUUCUUUGAACACGUGUUCCUUUAUUACUUAUACUUACUUCUUUCAAACAAAGAAAGUGGUUUUUUUUCAUUUUGCUAUUAAUUUUUAACAUUGUAAUUUGUUUUAUUACAUUGGAGACUUGCCAUUGUUUUCCUGCAGCAAGAACAUCAACAUGGUGAAAUUUUUGAUGAGCAGAUGCUCCUCAAUUUGGUGCUACUGUUAACGUACCUUUAUUAUUACAGCAAUGCUCUGUCUGAGAGUGACUAGACUCCAUAAAAUUUCAUCAGUGACAAAUCUAGGAUUAUAUCAGCAUUAUAUUAAUAGAAAGAAUUGCUGAAAAUAUAUUUUCUCUCUUAAUUAACUUUAUGAAUUGACUGUACUUAUGACCAUCUUUUGGAUGUGAUAUUUAUGUACUGUCUUUGAAAUAAACUGU